UUUUCCAUAUGUAUCGUGUGAGGUACUGGAGCAGUUUUUUACGCAGCAGUGACUGCCAGGCAUGGUAAAACAGUGCGGAAUUGCGAGAACCUCCUCUACUACCGAGUUAACAACACACGUAAACAAUCAUGUUUUGCCGCCGGAAUCCUGCCAACAUAGCGGAGAGGGUGAGGAUCCGGCGAGAUACCAUGAUAUCGAGGGGAGGGGCUCUGUAUCAUGACGACAACUCCUCACUCUCAAUAUCUGAUCCCACGAUAUUUGGUGGAUUAAUCUGAUUGUUUGUGUUAUUCGACAAACUAAGAGUACCCUUGAAACGAGCGAGGCCCUGUUGCUGUUGGUGCAAUACUUCCAGACGCUAUUUUCUACACUUAAAAAGAGUUAAAGAUAUUCUUUGGUAAGUAAAGCUAAUUAAGUGUCAUAUUUUACAGAUUUUGUGUACUGAAGAAUACACGUCAGCAUGUAUUGUUAGUUAAAUUAUUUUAUAUGUUACAGGUUUACA